AGACAUGUUCAAAACAAGUGACGUGGAAAUUUCCAUAUUUCAACAUUCGCACGAACAUCUCCAACAGCCAGUACAUCUCUAUAACAAGUUUACCGUCCGUUACGUUGUAGAACUUGACACACGUGCCCGCUCCGUAAGCUGCGAAUAUGUCUUGAUUGCCAAUCAUCCACGUUAAUCCCACAACUGUACUGUCCACGGAAAUAAUUUGCUGAUUGACAUGCUACGUCCAUGUAACACAAUUACGUAACGUUGAAAUUAUUUAUAAAAAUGUAAUGCUAGUCAGUAUUAAAUUGGUUAUAUAGUAAUUAUUAUUUAUUUUAAGUAUUGAAAGCACUAUUGUUAGUACUUUUAAUACUAAAAAUGAGUAAUAAUUACUAAUUUAAUAUUGUUUAGUGUUACAGUUUUAUAAGGAUUGUAAAGAUAAAAAUAAAAUAUGUAAUAAAUAAAUUUUGAUAAAAUUUUACUA